rnacentral:rRNA from 1 species
AAGCAACGCGAAGAACCUUACCAGGUCUUGACAUCCCGGUGACCACUAUGGAGACAUAGUUUCCCCUUCGGGGGCAACGGUGACAGGUGGUGCAUGGUUGUCGUCAGCUCGUGUCGUGAGAUGUUGGGUUAAGUCCCGCAACGAGCGCAACCCUUAUUCUUAGUUGCCAUCAUUCAGUUGGGCACUCUAAGGAGACUGCCGGUGAUAAACCGGAGGAAGGUGGGGAUGACGUCAAAUCAUCAUGCCCCUUAUGACCUGGGCUACACACGUGCUACAAUGGACGGUACAAACGGUUGCCAACCCGCGAGGGGGAGCUAAUCCGAUAAAACCGUUCUCAGUUCGGAUUGCAGGCUGCAACUCGCCUGCAUGAAGCCGGAAUCGCUAGUAAUCGCGGAUCAGCAUGCCGCGGUGAAUACGUUCCCGGGCCUUGUACACACCGCCCGUCACACCACGAGAGUUUGUAACACCCGAAGUCGGUGAGGUAACCUUUUGGAGCCAGCCGCCGAAGGUGGG